AGAGUUUGAUCAUGGCUCAGAUUGAACGCUGGCGGCAGGCCUAACACAUGCAAGUCGAGCGGUAGCACAGAGAGCUUGCUCUCGGGUGACGAGCGGCGGACGGGUGAGUAAUGUCUGGGAAACUGCCUGAUGGAGGGGGAUAACUACUGGAAACGGUAGCUAAUACCGCAUAAUGUCGCAAGACCAAAGUGGGGGACCUUCGGGCCUCAUGCCAUCAGAUGUGCCCAGAUGGGAUUAGCUAGUAGGUGGGGUAACGGCUCACCUAGGCGACGAUCCCUAGCUGGUCUGAGAGGAUGACCAGCCACACUGGAACUGAGACACGGUCCAGACUCCUACGGGAGGCAGCAGUGGGGAAUUUUGGACAAUGGGGGCAACCCUGAUCCAGCCAUGCCGCGUGCGGGAAGAAGGCCUUCGGGUUGUAAACCGCUUUUGUCAGGGACGAAAAGGUGCGGGUUAAGAGCUAGCACUGAUGACGGUACCUGAAGAAUAAGCACCGGCUAACUACGUGCCAGCAGCCGCGGUAAUACGUAGGGUGCGAGCGUUAAUCGGAAUUACUGGGCGUAAAGCGUGCGCAGGCGGUUGGGUAAGACAGAUGUGAAAUCCCCGGGCUUAACCUGGGAACUGCAUUUGUGACUGUCCGACUGGAGUAUGUCAGAGGGGGGUGGAAUUCCAAGUGUAGCAGUGAAAUGCGUAGAUAUUUGGAAGAACACCGAUGGCGAAGGCAGCCCCCUGGGGCAAAACUGACGCUCAUGCACGAAAGCGUGGGGAGCAAACAGGAUUAGAUACCCUGGUAGUCCACGCCCUAAACGAUGUCUA
rnacentral:rRNA from 1 species